GACGAACGCUGGCGGCGCGCCUAACACAUGCAAGUCGAACGGAGUCAAGAGGAGCUUGCUUUUCUUGACUUAGUGGCGAACGGGUGAGUAACGCGUGAGUAACCUGCCCUGGAGUGGGGGACAACAGUUGGAAACGACUGCUAAUACCGCAUAAGCCCACGGAUCUGCAUGGAUCUGCGGGAAAAGGAUUUAUUCGCUCUAGGAUGGACUUGCGUCCAAUUAGCUAGUUGGUGAGGUAACGGCCCACCAAGGCGACGAUUGGUAGCCGGACUGAGAGGUUGAACGGCCACAUUGGGACUGAGACACGGCCCAGAAUCCUACGGGAGGCAGCAGUGGGGGAUAUUGCACAAUGGGGGAAACCCUGAUGCAGCGACGCCGCGUGGAGGAAGAAGGUUUUCGGAUUGUAAACUCCUGUCGUUAGGGACGAUAAUGACGGUACCUAACAAGAAAGCACCGGCUAACUACGUG
rnacentral:rRNA from 1 species